GACGAACGCUGGCGGCGUGCCUAAUACAUGCAAGUCGAACGAGAGCAACCGGUGCUUGCACUGGUCAAUCUAGUGGCGAACGGGUGAGUAACACGUGGGUAACCUGCCCAUCAGAGGAGGAUAACAUCCGGAAACGGAUGCUAAAACCGCAUAGGUCUUCGAACCGCAUGGUUUGAAGAGGAAAAGAGGCGCAAGCUUCUGCUGAUGGAUGGACCCGCGGUGCAUUAGCUAGUUGGUGAGGUAACGGCUCACCAAGGCCGUGAUGCAUAGCCGACCUGAGAGGGUGAUCGGCCACAUUGGGACUGAGACACGGCCCAAACUCCUACGGGAGGCAGCAGUAGGGAAUCUUCCGCAAUGGACGCAAGUCUGACGGAGCAACGCCGCGUGAGUGAAGAAGGUUUUCGGAUCGUAAAACUCUGUUGUUAGAGAAGAACAAGUGCUAGAGUAACUGUUAGCGCCUUGGCGGUAUCUAACCAGAAAGCCACGGCUAACUACGUG
rnacentral:rRNA from 1 species